rnacentral:rRNA from 1 species
GACGAACGCUGGCGGCGUGCUUAACACAUGCAAGUCGAGCGGUAAGGCCUUUCGGGGUACACGAGCGGCGAACGGGUGAGUAACACGUGGGUGACCUGCCCUCCACUUCGGGAUAAGCCUGGGAAACUGGGUCUAAUACGGGAUGGGACCAUUCCAUGCAUGUGGGGUGGUGGAAAGUCGGUGCUGUUGUGGUGCUGGCGGUGGGAGU